rnacentral:tRNA from 1 species
AGGGUAGUGUAAUUGGAAGCACGUGGAGUUUUGAUCUCUAAUGUACAGGAUCAAGUCCUGUUUUUCUA